rnacentral:rRNA from 1 species
CCUACGGGGUGCAGCAGUGGGGUAUAUUGCACAAUGGACGGAAGUCUGAUGCAGCAACGCCGCGUGGAGGAUGACACAUUUCGGUGCGUAAACUCCUUUUAUAUAAGAAGAUAAUGACGGUAUUAUAUGAAUAAGCACCGGCUAACUCCGUGCCAGCAGCCGCGGUAAUACGGGGGGUGCAAGCGUCACUCGGAAUCACUGGGCGUAAAGAGCAUGUAGGCGGAUUAAUAAGUUUGAAGUGAAAUCCUAUAGCUUAACUAUAGAACUGCUUUGAAAACUGUUGAUCUAGAAUGUGGGAGAGGUAGAUGGAAUUUCUGGUGUAGGGGUAAAAUCCGUAGAGAUCAGAAGGAAUACCGAUUGCGAAGGCGACUUACUGGAACACAAUUGACGCUGAGAUGCGAAAGCGUGGGGAGCAAACAGGAUUAGAUACCCCGGUAGUC